rnacentral:rRNA from 1 species
GACGAACGCUGGCGGCGUGCCUAAUACAUGCAAGUAGAACGCUGAAGGAGGAGCUUGCUUCUCUGGAUGAGUUGCGAACGGGUGAGUAACGCGUAGGUAACCUGCCUGGUAGCGGGGGAUAACUAUUGGAAACGAUAGCUAAUACCGCAUAAGAGUAGAUGUUGCAUGACAUUUGCUUAAAAGGUGCAAUUGCAUCACUACCAGAUGGACCUGCGUUGUAUUAGCUAGUUGGUGGGGUAACGGCUUACCAAGGCGACGAUACAUAGCCGACCUGAGAGGGUGAUCGGCCACACUGGGACUGAGACACGGCCCAGACUCCUACGGGAGGCAGCAGUAGGGAAUCUUCGGCAAUGGACGGAAGUCUGACCGAGCAACGCCGCGUGAGUGAAGAAGGUUUUCGGAUCGUAAAGCUCUGUUGUAAGAGAAGAACGAGUGUGAGAGUGGAAAGUUCACACUGUGACGGUAGCUUACCAGAAAGGGACGGCUAACUACGUG